rnacentral:rRNA from 1 species
AAACUCAAAGGAAUUGACGGGGACCCGCACAAGCGGCGGAGCAUGCGGAUUAAUUCGAUGCAACGCGAAGAACCUUACCAAGGCUUGACAUACACGAGAACGCCCUAGAAAUAGGGAACUCUUUGGACACUCGUGAACAGGUGGUGCAUGGUUGUCGUCAGCUCGUGUCGUGAGAUGUUGGGUUAAGUCCCGCAACGAGCGCAACCCUCGUUCUAUGUUGCCAGCACGUAAUGGUGGGAACUCAUGGGAUACUGCCGGGGUCAACUCGGAGGAAGGUGGGGAUGACGUCAAAUCAUCAUGCCCCUUAUGUCUUGGGCUUCACGCAUGCUACAAUGGCCGGUACAAAGGGCUGCAAUACCGUAAGGUGGAGCGAAUCCCAAAAGCCGGUCCCAGUUCGGAUUGAGGUCUGCAACUCGACCUCAUGAAGUCGGAGUCGCUAGUAAUCGCAGAUCAGCAACGCUGCGGUGAAUACGUUCCCGGGUCUUGUACACACCGCCCGUCAAGUCAUGAAAGUCGGUAACACCUGAAGCCGGUGGCCCAACCCUUGUGGAGGGAGCCGUCGAAGGUGGGAUCGGUAAUUAGGACUAAGUCGUAACAAGGUAGCCGUACCGGAAGGUGCGGCUGGAUCACCUCCUUUCUG